GACGAACGCUGGCGGCGUGCCUAACACAUGCAAGUCGAGCGAAUGAAGUUCCUUCGGGAACGGAUUUAGCGGCGGACGGGUGAGUAACACGUGGGCAACCUGCCUCAUAGAGGGGAAUAGCCUUCCGAAAGGGAGAUUAAUACCGCAUAAGAUUGUAGUACCGCAUGGUACAGUAAUUAAAGGAGUAAUCCGCUAUGAGAUGGGCCCGCGGCGCAUUAGCUAGUUGGUGAGGUAACGGCUCACCAAGGCGACGAUGCGUAGCCGACCUGAGAGGGUGAUCGGCCACAUUGGGACUGAGACACGGCCCAGACUCCUACGGGAGGCAGCAGUGGGGAGUAUUGCACAAUGGGGGAAACCCUGAUGCAGCAACGCCGCGUGAGUGAUGACGGCCUUCGGGUUGUAAAGCUCUGUCUUCAGGGACGAUAAUGACGGUACCUGAGGAGGAAGCCACGGCUAACUACGUGCCAGCAGCCGCAGUAAUAC
rnacentral:rRNA from 1 species